CCUACGGGCGGCAGCAGUGGGGAAUAUUGGACAAUGGGGGGAACCCUGAUCCAGCCAUGCCGCGUGUGUGAAGAAGGCCCUCGGGUUGUAAAGCACUUUCAGUGAGGAAGAACGCCUGGUGGUUAAUACCCAUCAGGAAAGACAUCACUCACAGAAGAAGCACCGGCUAACUCCGUGCCAGCAGCCGCGGUAAUACGGAGGGUGCGAGCGUUAAUCGGAAUUACUGGGCGUAAAGUGCGCGUAGGUGGCUUGAUAAGCCGGUUGUGAAAGCCCCGGGCUCAACCUGGGAACGGCAUCCGGAACUGUCAAGCUAGAGUGCAGGAGAGGAAGGUAGAAUUCCCGGUGUAGCGGUGAAAUGCGUAGAGAUCGGGAGGAAUACCAGUGGCGAAGGCGGCCUUCUGGACUGACACUGACACUGAGGUGCGAAAGCGUGGGUAGCAAACAGGAUUAGAUACCCCAGUAGUC
rnacentral:rRNA from 1 species